AGGGAAUCUUCCGCAAUGGACGAAAGUCUGACGGAGCAACGCCGCGUGAGUGAUGAAGGUUUUCGGAUCGUAAAGCUCUGUUGCCAGGGAAGAACGUCUUCUGGAGUAACUGCCAGGAGAGUGACGGUACCUGAGAAGAAAGCCCCGGCUAACUACGUGCCAGCAGCCGCGGUGAUACGUAGGGGGCAAGCGUUGUCCGGAAUUAUUGGGCGUAAAGCGCGCGCAGGCGGCUGUUUAAGUCUGGUGUUUAAUCCUGGGGCUCAACCCCGGGUCGAACUGGAAGCUGGACGGCUUGAGUGCAGAAGAGGAGAGUGGAAUUCCACGUGUAGCGGUGAAAUGCGUAGAGAUGUGGAGGAACACCAGUGGCGAAGGCGACUCUCUGGGCUGUAACUGACGCUGAGGCGCGAAAGCGUGGGGAGCAAAC
rnacentral:rRNA from 1 species